GGCUCGAUAGCUUAGUUGGUAAAGCGCAAGUCUAGCAUACAAGAGUCCUGGGUUCGAUUCCCAGCUAAGCAC
rnacentral:tRNA from 1 species